rnacentral:rRNA from 1 species
AUUGAACGCUGGCGGCAGGCCUAACACAUGCAAGUCGAACGAGUGGCGGACGGGUGAGUAAUGUCUGGGAAACUGCCUGGUGGAGGGGGCUAACUAGUGGAAACGGUAGCUAAUACCGCAUACCAUCAGAUGUGCCCAGAUGGGAUUAGCUUGUCGGUGGGGUAACGGCUCACCAAGGCGACGAUCCCUACCUGGUCUGAGAGGAUGACCAGCCACACUGGAACUGAGACACGGUCCAGACUCCGACGGGAGGCAGCAGUGGGGACUCUUGCACAAUGGGCGCAAGCCUGAUGGAGCAAUGCCGCGUGUAUGAAGAAGGCCUUCGGGUUGUAAAGUACUUUCAGCGGGGAGGCGUUACCUGCAGAAGAAGCACCGGCUAACUCCGUGCCAGCAGCCGUGGUAAUUC